GGUGGUUCCGAGUGGAAGGGCCAUCGCUCAACGGAUAAAAGCUACCCUGGGGAUAACAGGCUGAUCUCCCCCAAGAGUCCACAUCGACGGGGAGGUUUGGCACCUCGAUGUCGGCUCAUCACAUCCUGGGGCUGUAGUAGGUCCCAAGGGUUGGGCUGUUCGCCCAUUAAAGUGGUACGCGAGCUGGGUUCAGAACGUCGUGAGACAGUUCGGUCCCUAUCCGUCGCAGGCGUAGGAAAUUUGAGAGGAGCUGUCCUUAGUACGAGAGGACCGGGAUGGACAUACCUCUGGUGCACCAGUUGUCACGCCAGUGGCAUAGCUGGGUAGCUAUGUAUGGACUGGAUAAGCGCUGAAAGCAUCUAAGCGCGAAGCCACCCUCAAGAUAAGAUUUCCCACUUUUUAAGGUAAGACCCCAAGAAGACUACUUGGUUGAUAGGCUCAAGGUGUAAGCGCAGUAAUGUGUUCAGCUUAUGAGUACUAAUAGGUCGAGGACUUGACCAA
rnacentral:ncRNA from 1 species